UUUAUUAAAAAAAAGGGAAAAAAAAAAAAGAAAAUAUGAGAAAUAUAACCCUGACUGCCAAAGAUACCAAGAAGAAGAAAAGAGAAUAACAGUGGAAAUGUAAAGGUAUUCCUUUGUUGCCAACUCUUCCUUAUGGAUUUUCUUUUGUUGUCUUUCAGGAAAUGGAAUUUCUCCACCUUCUUGGGGUCUUUCUAGUCUGUUCUAUGGUAGCUUCUGGAACCUGGGAUUCAAUAUGAUGGUUUUCUAUAGUUGUCAUCUUGGUGAAUUUGCUCAGCAGCUUUUUCCAUCCACUAGUCCACGCUGAUGUCUGUUUCUUAUUUGUCAUCUUAUCAAACUGUCUCUGCAGAUUCUCCAUGUCAUUUUGUAGCUCAAGGUACUUAGUCUUC
rnacentral:misc_RNA from 1 species